CUCCUCUCAAGAUUGCCCCUGGAGAGUUUCCAGUAAUCUACCAGUCUCGCCUACAAGAGGGAGAGCCAAGCAGAGGCCUACCCAUUCCAUUCCUAGCUUUGGGCAGUGGCUAGCGAGUGGAAGGCAAGCUGCUACAAGU